rnacentral:rRNA from 1 species
UACGGGGGGGGCAAGCGUUGUUCGGAAUUACUGGGCGUAAAGGGUUUGUAGGCGGGUCUUUAAGUCAGGGGGGAAAUCCUGGAGCUCAACUCCAGAACUGCCUUUGAUACUGAAGAUCUUGAGUUCGGGAGAGGUGAGUGGAACUGCGAGUGUAGAGGUGAAAUUCGUAGAUAUUCGCAAGAACACCAGUGGCGAAGGCGGCUCACUGGCCCGAUACUGACGCUGAGGCACGAAAGCGUGGGGAGCAAACAGG